CAGUCCGUUCACUAGCCCUACGGGUAUCACAAAGUACUUGUGAGGAUAUGCCCCUCCUGAACACCUAUAGCUACACUGAUGUCUUUAACCUGAAUAAAAUAAUUAAUGCCAUCUAUUCGACCAUUGCUGUUGGCAUGCAGUUAGCAAAUGGCCCAUGUUGUAGGUAGGACACUUUGUAACAGCCCACUUCCUUCAGGAAUGUCAGUCAGUAAGCCAUGCCAUGUGUUUCCAAAAAUCUAAAAAGGCCACGUGUUCAGAGCCCACCACGGUCUGUUCGUGCUGCAGUUUCCAGCUUGUACCUUUUAAUCGAAACCCUAACCACAGUUCAUGCUCUGUCUGAGUUUCCCAGUGUGCUGCGGAGUUUUGUCUGUGCUUGGGCCGUGGCGUCAGAGCUAGCUGUUUUGUAAUCGCUGCUUGAUGAUGCAGCACGUCUGCCCUUCAGUGUGUUAUGUCUGACCCAAGGUCCCGUGUGAUAACCCAGCUAAUAAAGAGAACCAAACAACCCUUUCCAUUCACUCCUUCUGUCUAGACCCGAUUUCGGGAGAAGAGAAAUGGGAGGCAACCUGCGGCGAGCCCCCCGGGCAACAAAAGAUGUGCAAUAUACAUAUUCAAACAUAAAUAAGAGAUAUUCUGCCGUGAGAAAGAUGUCAGGGAUUGAGUCAUGUGAGGUGAGGUAAACUGCCUGUUGGCAACAGAUCAUGUUUUGUUUAUUAGUCUCCAAAAGCCAUGAUGACGAUACUGCGAUGAAAACUGGAAGUGUAAACAUGGAAGUGUGUAAACACAUAUUUUACGUUAGAAAAACCAUACAAAAAGUUUUAUCUAAUUUAUUGUAUUCGUCUUCUAGCUUCAGUUUACUCACAAUUUACUUACCAAGUUUGAAACCUCGGCCUGUUUAAUUGAACACAAUACUGUAAUACUAGCAGGAAUUGAAGAAAGACACACACCAAUUAUCACUUAAUUACACUGGGUCUCUCUCUUUUUUCCUGUUUUUAAAACCAUUUGCUGCCACCUAGUGGAGGCAGAUUACCUUGUUGUGCCUGGUACUGCUGUCAAACCUGAUAUUCUCUCUUAUUUAUAAACACAGAAUAAAAUUGGAGAAACCGUUCUCGUAGAUUAGCUGAAGAUGUGAGGAUUUGGUACUGGAUCAGCAAACAGCAUAAUGACUCCAAACGGACAGAACUUCUUUAAGCCCUAGAAAUACUAAAUAAACUUUAUUGAUCCCACGCUCCGACUGCAGGAGCAGAUUUGGGACUCUCACGAAAGAGAGUUACAAGUUAAGUUACACAGGUUUUACACAUUUGGUCGUUUGUUGAUUCUUUUUUGGAAGGCAUUAUUAUCCAUUUACACACAAGUGUAUCUAGUGAUUGAAUUUGAUUGAAAAAACAAACGAAAAACCUCCGAUAAGCCGAUAAGCCGAGGCCAGUUGGUAUGUACUGUACAGUUGCUUAACCCAUAUGUGGUCAAUUUGCUGCUGCAGUAAUCUCACUCACAUAAACAGGAUGCUGCUGUUGGAGUCGGGGGAUGUUUAUAAUUCCUGCCAUCUUCAGAGCUCUCUUAAAGACGCACAGGAGGCUGGUUACCAUCACACUGGGUUUCUUUUUCACUUCUGCCCUGUAGUCAUGAAGGUCAUGUGUCAGAGUAGGAUUGUCUGUACGACAGUAAAACUUCCCAGCACGUGUACAAACACAGCAGUCGUGCAAAUGCAUGAACGUACCAUUUUUGUCUCUCUGUUGCAUUUCUGUGUGUAUGUAAGUUUCUGUUCUGGAUAUUUGUUUCUAUUGCAGUUAUUUUUGCAUAUUUGUGUCAGUGGGGUAAGAAUGUAUUUGUAUGUCAUCAUCAAUAGUCGAUUACGAAAACCUCGCAGGGUCUCUUUAUGUUGAACAGAAGGGGGCAUCGCACUUCAGACAGACAUGUCAACCCAGAUAGAUUUGCAGCUCCUCAUUCCCUCUAAUCUUUUCUGCGUCUCAGUUUUUCUUCUCUUGUAUGCAUUUUUUUUUUUACAUUUUCUCUCUUGAAAAAAAUAGAGCGAUCAGCGAUAUGAUGAGGGAUCACAGAGGUUUUUAAACCUUUGAUGAUUCUCAUGGAAAUGUAAGUGGAAAUAUGAUGUAGAUAUGAGAAUAUAUAUGACACACUUUCAAAGCAGAUCAAUAACAGACAGAAAAACACGCAUCUUAGAGCAAGUGUUUAAGUUUUCAAAGUCUGAAGGACAUUAACAAACGAGGGCAAACAAAAGUCUCAAAAAAUCUAAAGCAAUCAAAUGAUGCAUUUUCACAAAAAUGAACUGCAGUCCCCUGAAGACUACUUGAAGUAAAAAAA